CCGGCGGCAGCAACCCACCUAUAUGUAAUGGAGAGCGCCUCUAGCCACGGGGCUGCUCAUUUGGCCUUGUUAAAUCACCCCCAGCAUAUGGUGAGAGACAUCUGCCCAGGAUUUGGACCUCACAGACUGGAAGAGGAGGGCUCCGCACAGACACUUUGAGGCUGGAGAGGAUGGAGGCAGCUGGGGAGGCGAUUCUAGAGCAAGGGCCUCACUUCUCUGAGGAGCUGGGAUUCUGAGAAAGAAGGGACUGGCUCAAGGUCAUGCAGUAGCCUACGGUUAGAUCUGUAGGGGACAAUUCAUUUUGGUUCUUUGAGCCUCUGUUUAUUUAUCUGUGAAGUGGGGUGGACAUAUAACUUACGGCCUGGAUGUGAGGGUUCGAUGAGAUCAUUUAAGGGAAUGGGCCCUGCUCAGUGCAUUUUAGUCGAACGUAUUUCUCGGUCUUCAGGGUGUAAGGGUCAAAGGCAGCCACUGACAGUGUUACGUUUUCAAGAGGCUUCAGAAAAGAUCCAAUACCUUCCCAAAUCCUGCUUCCGCUUCUUAGGGCUGGAGGGAACUGCAUCCUCUUGGCUACUGUUUGAGUCCAAUUACAAUGCAGCCUCACUUGCAAUGGAUAAAAAUGUGAACCAUGGAAGGCUGACUUCUAGGAUUCUGAGAAAGGCAAAAUGGAGAAACUGGGCCACUCCGUGUUGCUGGAUCAAGCCAUAACUGAAGACAGUGCUACCUUUGGACUUUUUAUUUGGAAAUUACAUCAAAUUGGGAUCCUCUCGCUGCUAGAGUUUGGUACACAUCAUGAAAAACUUGCCAGACAUUUCGAGAGCAGCGUCAUCUCAUUUCAAUGGCCAAAAACCUCAAAAUAAGCCAAAGAAGACUGAUAAGGCCUCACGCUCAACCCCUUUGGAAGCUGUGUGGUGUUUUUAUUCUGCUGGGAGGGACAAGCAAAUGAAUUACCAGAUCUUAAAACCUCAGUCACUGCCUUAGGAACCAUUAGAAGGACAGGGAGAGAGAAAACAAAUACGGACUCAAGACGGUACAAAGGAAUUCGACACAAACAGUUGAGAGGCUUUUCUGAAUUUGGGGGCACACGGGUAUAUGGAUGUGAUUUCUAAAGCAGCGGCUAGAAUGGGACCCUAGCAAUUAAAAAAAAAAAAUCUCAAAGAAUCCACCCUUGAAAAACCUGGGUAACACCAAUGGAGCCGUAUUGCCACCCCAGAUGGCCAAAUGGGGUAAACAUAUCACUUUAAUUUAAAUUUUCUGGCUAUUUGACAAUAGGCAACCUCUGGUCCUCUUUCCCAACCUUCAAACACUGCUUAUCUCCCCAUUGCAGGACCUAUUGAUUUCAGCCCAGAGCGAAUGCAUUACAGCCAAGUGAUAAAUUGCUUAAAAUUAUUCUUCAAUGAAAACACUGGAAACCUCCGAUGUGGCUUUUUGAAUGGAGGGUGGGCAGGACAAUUUCCAAACUGUCCGGAUCAGAGAUGCUUUCUGCCGAUUGAUUCCUUCUUCAGCAGCUAUGUUGCUAACCUGCAGAGCCCAUCGUCUGCACCCAGCACUGAGGGCUUACCCAAUUCAUGAUGCUAGAGAAAGGUUUUUCCCUACCGCCAGUCCUUGCUCCGGGCUACC